rnacentral:misc_RNA from 1 species
CUCGUCUAUAUCCAUCAUCUCUCUCUUAAUUUUUAUUUUUUUUCUUUCCCCAACAACUUCAACUUCUCUAUAAGUCAUAACUUCCAUCUUUCUUUCAAUUUACAACAAAAAAAUAAAUAAAUCAUUCUUUUCUUCAUUUCAUACAUCAAUAUAGGUCACUUGCAACCAAAUAUCGAAAAAUACACUCAUUUUAAUUCUAUCGACAAAAGAAAUGUGGAAUUUAAAUGAUUCCCCUGAUCAGACAAUGGAGUAUGAAUCCGAUGAAGGUAUAACGGUUAGAUCGGAAUCAAAUUCAAUUUCAUCCGCUCUACUUGUUGUAGAAGACGGUAAUUCAUCAGAAGAAGACGGUGAAAAAGGUAAAAAAAAGAAAAGUAAUAAUACACCAGGUAAAAUAUUCGGAUUUUCGAUUAAAGACCACAAUUUGGAAUCGCCGGUAGUUACCCGGCAAUUUUUUCCGGUAGAUAACGAGUCUACCAAUUUUCCAAGGGCACAAUGGGCUGGAAUUAAAUUUUGUGAAUCGGAACCGCCACUUGUCAAUGGAUUAGUGGGGAACAAAAUUGACGUGUUGCAACAACAGCCAAUUAAAAAAAGCCGUCGUGGACCACGUUCAAGAAGUUCACAGUACCGUGGUGUUACCUUUUACCGGAGGACUGGCCGGUGGGAAUCUCAUAUAUGGGAUUGUGGGAAACAAGUGUAUUUAGGUGGAUUUGAUACAGCACAUGCAGCAGCUCGUGCAUAUGAUAGGGCAGCAAUCAAAUUCCGGGGAGCGGAGGCGGACAUAAACUUUACCUCGAAAGAUUAUGAAGAUGACUUAAAACAGAUGAGCAAUUUAACCAAAGAAGAAUUUGUGCAUGUACUAAGGAGACAAAGUACUGGUUUUCCAAGAGGAAGUUCCAAGUAUAGAGGAGUCACUUUGCAUAAAUGUGGUAGAUGGGAAGCUAGAAUGGGACAAUUCUUAGGCAAAAAGUAUGUUUAUUUAGGCCUAUUUGAUACUGAAGUUGAAGCUGCCAGAGCUUAUGAUAAAGCUGCUAUCAAGUGUAAUGGAAAAGAUGCAGUUACCAACUUUGAUCGUAGCAUUUAUGAAAAUGAACUUAACUCAACCGAAUGUACUGAUAAUGCAACGGACCACAAUCUUGACUUAAGCUUAGGAGGUUCAAGCCAAGAAAUGGGGGACAAUAGGGGUCAAAAUUCUUCAUCUAAUUUGCAAUUGGAUGGCCAUUGGGGCCACCAAGGGUCAUCAAGGCAUAAUAAUAAGGUUCAGACUCCGAGCAGCUCUUGCAAAGCCUCAUAAAGAACCCAGUUCUGAGCCAACACUCAUCAAAAGGUAUUCCUGUCCGUAUGUUGGAUGCAAGCGCAAUAAGGAGCAUAAAAAGUUUCAACCUCUCAAAACCAUCUUAUGUGUGAAAAACCAUUACAAGAGAACCCACUGUGAGAAAGCCUAUACUUGUAGUAGAUGUAACAUUAAGAAAUUUUCAGUAAUUGCUGAUCUUAAAACACAUGAAAAGCAUUGUGGAAAGGAUAAGUGGCUUUGUUCCUGUGGAACAACAUUUUCGAGGAAAGACAAGCUUUUUGGACACAUUUCCCUUUUUCAAGGUCAUACUCCUGCAGUUUCUCCGGAUGAAACUAAAGGAUCUGCUGGGACAUCUGACCGGGGCCAAACCGGUGAAGUCACCAUGAAAGCUCGACAAGAAAACUAUAAGGUAAAUGCUUCACAUGGCAAUGAGUUUCAAAAUCCCGGGGUUGUAAAAGAGUGUCCAUACAAUCCAAGCAGUUAUUUCUCACCUUUGAACUUCGAUACUAGCAAUCUUAAUGGAUUUCAAGAGUUCCCUCGACCACCAUUUGACGAGUCAGAUAGCUCAUUCUCAUUUCUGCUGUCUGGAUCAUGUGAAUACCCUCCUCACAAGGCUGCAAAAUUUAUGAGUUCUAGUGAAAUGGAAUAACAUCAACCAGUAUUCGAUUUGUCUUUGGUUCAUUGUAGCUAUCUAUUCUAUCAUGCCAUUAUUUUUUUUUUCAGAAUAACUGUCUUUUCCUUA